AUUGAACGCUGGCGGAAUGCUUUACACAUGCAAGUCGAACGGCAGCACGGACUUCGGUCUGGUGGCGAGUGGCGAACGGGUGAGUAAUGUAUCGGAACGUGCCCAGUCGUGGGGGAUAACGUAGGGAAAAUUACGCUAAUACCGCAUACGAUCUAUGGAUGAAAGCGGGGGAUCUCAAGACCUCGCGCGAUUGGAGCGGCCGAUAUCAGAUUAGGUAGUGGGUGGGGUAAAGGCCCACCAAGCCAACGAUCUGUAGCUGGUCUGAGAGGACGACCAGCCACACUGGAACUGAGACACGGUCCAGACUCCUACGGGAGGCAGCAGUGGGGAAUUUUGGACAAUGGGCGAAAGCCUGAUCCAGCCAUUCCGCGUGCAGGAUGAAGGCCCUCGGGUUGUAAACUGCUUUUGUACAGAACGAAAAGGUUUCUACUAAUACUAGGAGCUCAUGACGGUACUGUAAGAAUAAGCACCGGCUAACUACGUGCCAGCCGCCGCUGUAA
rnacentral:rRNA from 1 species